rnacentral:lncRNA from 1 species
UAUAGGCUGGAUAUGAGCCAACCAAUCUCGACCUACUGGAAGAUUAAGCCAGGUUUAGGUUAAGAUCCUUUAAAUUUAUGUAUAUAUGUAAAUGUGUUUGUAUAUAUAUAUAUAUUGCGUGCAUUCUCUCAUACACAUGCACACACAUAUGCACAAGAUAGUUAAAGAUUCUUGGCCUAUGUAUCUGUUAUAGCCCAAAACCAAUUCAGCCCACCAAAGCCCAAA